CCUACGGGUGACAGCAGUGGGGAAUCUUGCACAAUGGGGGAAACCCUGAUGCAGCAACGCCGCGUGAGUGAAGAAGUAUUUCGGAAUGUAAAGCUCUAUCAGCAGGGAAGAAAAUGACAGUACCUGACUAUGAAGACCCUGCUAACUACGUGCCAGCAGCCGCGGUAAUACUUAGGGGGCAAGCGGUCUCCGGAUUUACUGGGUGUAAAGGGAGCGUAGACGGCUGCGCAAGUCAGAAGUGAAAGCCCGGGGCUCAACCGUGGGACUACUUGUGAAACUGUGUAGCUAGAGUGCAGGAGAGGUAAGUGGAAUUCCUAGUGUAGCGGUGAAAUGCGUAGAGAUUAGGAGGAACACCAGUGGCGAAGGCGGCUUACUGGACUGUAACUGACGUUGAGGCGCGAAAGCGUGGGGAGCAAACAGGAUUAGAUACCCCAGUAGUC
rnacentral:rRNA from 1 species